GCUGGGCGUGGUGGCGGGCACCUGUAGUCCCAGCUACUUGGGAGGCUGAGGCAGGAGAAUCACUUGAACCCAGGAGGUGGAGGUUGCAGUG
rnacentral:SRP_RNA from 1 species